rnacentral:rRNA from 1 species
UCUUCCACAAUGGACGCAAGUCUGAUGGAGCAACGCCCCGUGAGUGAAGAAGGUCUCCGGAUCGUAAAGCCCUGUUGUUGGUGAAGAAGGAUAGAGGUAGUAACUGGCUUUUAUUUGACGGUAAUCAAUCAGAAAGUCACGGUUAACUACGUGCCAGCAGCCGCGGUAAUACGUAGGUGGCAAGCGUUGUCCGGAUUUAUUGGGCGUAAAGCGAGCGCAGGCGGAAGAAUAAGUCUGAUGUGAAAGCCCUCGGCUUAACCGAGGAAUUGCAUCGGAAACUGUUUUUCUUGAGUGCAGAAGAGGAGAGUGGAACUCCAUGUGUAGCGGUGGAAUGCGUAGAUAUAUGGAAGAACACCAGUGGCGAAGGCGGCUCUCUGGUCUGCAACUGACGCUGAGGCUCGAAAGCAUGGGUAGCGAACAG